CAUGGCUCAGUGUGGGCCCCUCCCCAUCUGGCUCCCACCUCCGGGUGCACAGUCUAUGGGGCACCUGAAAUCUCUACAGGCAGGUUUCAUGAGUCUGCCUACCCCACCAUCCUGAAUCUGGAAUAGGCCUACGAUGCCAGAAUCAUUAAUGAAAUUACACCUCUGCCCUGCGGUGGCAUCUGCAUUGAUGGCUCACCCGGAGCACGGAGGGCCGCCUGGAGCACCGAGGGCCGCCUGGAGCACCGAGGGCCACCUGGAGCACCAGCACCGCCCGUGCACCUGCAGGGCCUCCUCCCUCAGCCCACCUCCCUCGGCCUCAACAGUGAAACUCCGCAGGCGACAUUCUCCCCAGCUGUUGCCUCACUUAGCCUCCUCUGCUCACCCGGGCGCUGGACACCUUGCCCCGUAGCCCCGAGUGCUGGCGUGUGCGGGCAGACGAGAGCGUCCUCGGAGGGGUUGAGGCCCCCGGAGGUGCCUGGACUCCGCACUCCUUCCGACGAGCCGGGCUGGGAAGCGCCGUGCACCGGAGUCAUUUAGCACCAGCACGCAGAAGCACAGCGUACUCUAUUCCUGCUCUUCCUGGAGUCCUCUGCUGCUGCCACCACCUGACCAGGGAGGACAGCUGAGCGACAUUCAAGCAAAGGACGCUGUGAAGGGAACCAGGGGACAGAUUAGCAGAAGUGAGGAAAGGAAGCUGUUAAUCACUGAAGGCGGUACUUUAAACUGUGGUGGGUCUUGAGAUGAUUUUUUAAUUUAAGUGCUUUGUCUUUGACGAUCACAUAAAUAUGUUUGUGAA